rnacentral:rRNA from 1 species
ACUCCUACGGGUGGCAGCAGCAGGGAAUCUUGCGCAAUGGGCUAAAAGGCCUGACGCAGCGACACCGCGUGGGGGAUGAAGGCUUUAGGGUUGUAAACCCCUUUUCUCGGGGAAGAGUGAGGACGGUACCCGAGGAAUAAGCCUCGGCUAACUACGUGCCAGCAGCCGCGGUAACACGUAGGAGGCGAGCGUUGUCCGGAUUUACUGGGCGUAAAGGGCGAGUAGGCGGCCCGCCAAGUCUCAUGUGAAAUCUCCCGGCUCAACUGGGAGGGGUCAUGGGAAACUGGCGAGCUUGAGGUCAGCAGAGGAAAGUGGAAUUCCCGGAGUAGCGGUGAAAUGCGUAGAUACCGGGAGGAACAUCAGAGGCGAAGGCGACUUUCUGGGCUGCACCUGACGCUGAGGCGCGAAAGCAUGGGGAGCAAACCGGAUUAGAUACCCGGGUAGUCCAUGCCCUAAACGAUGGAUACUAGGUAUGGGGGGUAUCGACCCCCUCCGUGCCGUAGCUAACGCGUUAAGUAUCCCGCCUGGGGAGUACGGCCGCAAGGCUAAAACUCAAAGGAAUUGACGGGGGCCCGCACAAGCAGCGGAGCGUGUGGUUUAAUUCGAUGAUGAGCGAAGAACCUUACCAGGGCUUGACAUGCUUCUGAAAUCCACCGAAAGGUGGCCCUCCUUCGGGACAGAUGCACAGAUGUUGCAUGGCUGUCGUCAGCUCGUGCCGUGAGAU